rnacentral:rRNA from 1 species
UACGAAGGGGGCUAGCGUUGCUCGGAAUCACUGGCGUAAAGGGUGCGUAGGCGGGUCUUUAAGUCAGGGGUGAAAUCCUGGAGCUCAACUCCAGAACUGCCUUUGAUACUGAGGAUCUUGAGUUCGGGAGAGGUGAGUGGAACUGCGAGUGUAGAGGUGAAAUUCGUAGAUAUUCGCAAGAACACCAGUGGCGAAGGCGGCUCACUGGCCCGAUACUGACGCUGAGGCACGAAAGCGUGGGGAGCAACAGGG